rnacentral:rRNA from 1 species
GAUGAACGCUGGCGGCGUGCCUAAUACAUGCAAGUCGAGCGAACAGACGAGGAGCUUGCUCCUCUGACGUUAGCGGCGGACGGGUGAGUAACGCGUGGAUAACCUACCUAUAAGACUGGGAUAACUUCGGGAAACCGGAGCUAAUACCGGAUAAUAUAUUGAACCGCAUGGUUCAAUAGUGAAAGACGGUUUUGCUGUCACUUAUAGAUGGAUCCGCGCCGCAUUAGCUAGUUGGUAAGGUAACGGCUUACCAAGGCAACGAUGCGUAGCCGACCUGAGAGGGUGAUCGGCCACACUGGAACUGAGACACGGUCCAGACUCCUACGGGAGGCAGCAGUAGGGAAUCUUCCGCAAUGGGCGAAAGCCUGACGGAGCAACGCCGCGUGAGUGAUGAAGGUCUUCGGAUCGUAAAACUCUGUUAUUAGGGAAGAACAAAUGUGUAAGUAACUAUGCACGUCUUGACGGUACCUAAUCAGAAAGCCACGGCUAACUACGCG